GACGAACGCUGGCGGCGUGCCUAAUACAUGCAAGUUGAGCGCUGAAGGUUGGUACUUGUACCAACUGGAUGAGCAGCGAACGGGUGAGUAACGCGUGGGGAAUCUGCCUUUGAGCGGGGGACAACAUUUGGAAACGAAUGCUAAUACCGCAUAAAAACUUUAAACACAAGUUUUAAGUUUGAAAGAUGCAAUUGCAUCACUCAAGGAUGAUCCCGCGUUGUAUUAGCUAGUUGGUGAGGUAAAGGCUCACCAAGGCGAUGAUACAUAGCCGAACUGAGAGGGUGAUCGGCCACAUUGGGACGGAGACAGGGCCCAAACUCCUACGGGAGGCAGCAGUAGGGAAUCUUCGGCAAUGGACGAAAGUCUGACCGAGCAACGCCGCGUGAGUGAAGAAGGUUUUCGGAUCGGAAAACUCGGUUGGUAGAGAAGAACGUUGGUGAGAGUGGAAAGCUCAUCAAGUGACGGUAACUACCCAGAAAGGGACGGCUAACUACGUG
rnacentral:rRNA from 1 species